rnacentral:rRNA from 1 species
UACGUAGGGGGCAAGCGUUAUCCGGAUUUACUGGGUGUAAAGGGAGCGUAGACGGUGAUGCAAGUCAGAAGUGAAAGCCCGGGGCUCAACUCCGGGACUGCUUUUGAAACUGUGUAACUGGAGUGCAGGAGAGGUAAGCGGAAUUCCUGGUGUAGCGGUGAAAUGCGUAGAUAUCAGGAGGAACACCAGUGGCGAAGGCGGCUCACUGGACUGUAACUGACGUUGAGGCUCGAAAGCGUGGGGAGCAAACAGG